rnacentral:rRNA from 1 species
UACAGAGGUGGCAAGCGUUGUUCGGAAUUACUGGGCGUAAAGGGCGAGUAGGUGGCCAUCUAAGUCAGACGUGAAAUCCCUCGGCUCAACCGGGGAACUGCGUCUGAUACUGGGUGGCUUGAAUCCGGGAGAGGGAUGCGGAAUUCCAGGUGUAGCGGUGAAAUGCGUAGAUAUCUGGAGGAACACCGGUGGCGAAGGCAGCUCGCUGGAACGGUACUGACGCUGAGGCGCGAAAGCGUGGGGAGCAAACAGGG